CCUACGGGGGGCAGCAGUGGGAAAUAUUGGACAAUGGGGGCAACCCUGAUCCAGCCAUGCCGCGUGUGUGAAGAAGGCCCUCGGGUUGUAAAGCACUUUCAGUGAGGAAGAACGCCUGGUGGUUAAUACCCAUCAGGAAAGACAUCACUCACAGAAGAAGCACCGGCUAACUCCGUGCCAGCAGCCGCGGUAAUACGGAGGGUGCGAGCGUUAAUCGGAAUUACUGGGCGUAAAGCGCGCGUAGGUGGCUUGAUAAGCCGGUUGUGAAAGCCCCGGGCUCAACCUGGGAACGGCAUCCGGAACUGUCAAGCUAGAGUGCAGGAGAGGAUGGUAGAAUUCCCGGUGUAGCGGUGAAAUGCGUAGAGAUCGGGAGGAAUACCAGUGGCGAAGGCGGCCUUCUGGACUGACACUGACACUGAGGUGCGAAAGCGUGGGUAGCAAACAGGAUUAGAUACCCCUGUAGUC
rnacentral:rRNA from 1 species